ACACAGAUAGAGGAAAAACCAAUAGUUGUCGUUUCCUUCAAGUUGUUUGUUGUACGUAUACUUCGAAUGUAAGUUAGCACAUAAUAAUAUCGCCAUUAUUAUUAGCAGCAAGUUAUUCGUUGUUUGGUUGUUGGACGCCUACAAACUUUGCAUGGGAAUCAAGCUGAAAGAAGCACGGUGCCAAAAAACGAUUCAUUUCCAAGACCUUAUCGCCACCACAGAACGAACUUGAUAAAUUCUAAUGGAUUUUGUCAGUGAUGGAAAAGAUGAACAAGAACAACGACAAUUAGCAGAAUCAGCGAUGAAAACAUGGCGUCAUCAUCAAGUCAUCAACUCAACUCACACGUCGUAUAAUUGCUGUACGUACAUACAUUUUAUUACAAUUUCUCUUAAUCAGUUUGAUUGUUGGAAUUGUUUGGUGAGUUAAGUCGAGUAGAGGGGAAAGGUUUCUGUUUCCAUAAUCGUAGUAAAAUUGCCUAAUAUCAGACUACUUAUUAAGGGGUGAAAGCCCUUUAUAAGAUCGUUAUGUCCGUCCGUCUGUCUGUCCGUAGCUCCGAUAACUUUUGAACGAAAAGACAUAGACAC